rnacentral:rRNA from 1 species
AUAUUGGGUGUUUUCGGUAGCCGGUACGUUUACUUUGAGAAAAUUAGAGUGCUUAAAGCAGGCUAUCGCCUGAAUAAUGUUGCAUGGAAUAAUAGAAUAGGACCUCGGUUCUAUUUUGUUGGUUUUGUAGAGCAUUGAGGUAAUGAUUAAUAGGGACAGACGGGGGCAUUCGUAUUGCGGUGUUAGAGGUGAAAUUCUUGGAUCGCCGCAAGACGAACAACUGCGAAAGCAUUUGCCAAGAAUGUUUUCAUUAAUCAAGAACGAAAGUUGGAGGUUCGAAGACGAUUAGAUACCGUCCUAGUUCCAACCAUAAACGAUGCCAACUAGCGAUUAGCUGCUGUUAAUCAAACGACACAGCUAGCAGCUUCCGGGAAACCAAAGUUUUUGGGUUCCGGGGGAAGUAUGGUUGCAAAGCUGAAACUAAAGGAAUGACGAAGGCCCCCUGAUGUC